rnacentral:lncRNA from 1 species
GAGAAUGUUCAGGUGACCGUUUAGACGCCGUACUAGCAUGCACACUUAUGGUUGGUCCCAAACGAUCCUUGGCAGAUACUCGCGGUAAUGACUCACUGACAGACAUCGGCUGUCCUUCGGGUGUAGGUGUUCUACUCUUUCCCAUGAAAAAUGAAUAGAAUAAAACACACUCUGUGAUUGAAAAAUACUCAAGACACUAAAACAGCCCUCCUUCUAGCGCCAAUGUUAACGCCAAGAUCUUUCUCCACGUCCCAAUCACGAAAGACGUCCUGAUCCUGCACAGUAAACACGACAAACACCACAAGCUUGACGGCUGGACCGCCGGGGGAUAGCUCAGGCGUAAGAGUAAGUAUGUCUGUUCACAAAGUUAACUCAAGAGGAUAAUAGAAUUUAGUGUAUUGAGAGUCAUUAUUUAUGAGUUGUGUGAAUGUGUAUAUAUGAAUGAAACGUACCUCCUUGUGAAGACUUACUCACUAAGAAAUAAUAUCCUUGCUUGGAUUAUCGUGCCGCCCACUAUCACCUGACAUAUCCCCCUGACCUGAUGGGUUCGACCGACUGCAUGGAGUUCAUCCGCUGCUCUUGGCCACUGUUUGCACCGCCGGCCGACUAUAAUCUCAUCCACAUUAAUGCAUGGCAAAUAUCUUGGUCAACUGUCAUACUAUAUCAUCAUUACAAGUCAAAGUAAUAGAUAUUAAAUGACCCAAUGGGUUAAUCCAACGAACCGACCCGGUCCAAUAGGAUUAAAUAAAGUUGACACAAUAAAUGGGCUCAAAGAGUCCCAUAGCUUAAUUAUAAAAGCCCAACAAAAAUGAACCCAAUAUACCCGACCCAAAAUAGGAGAAAUAUCAUACCCAACAAUAUAUAUAUAAGCAUUCUUCUUAUUCAUAAUCUUUAACAUUUUGCUUCUUCGGUGUAGUAAUACUAUGAAUUCAUACUUGCUCUAAUUUUUUCUGUGAAGGAAUGGAUCAAAGAGUUUACCAUCAGUCGGAGGAGAUUGGUCAAAUGGAAGUUCUCAUUUUCUCUAGUCUUUUUUUUUUCUUCUCUUGAUUACAUCAAUUUUCACCACCAUCUGAUCCAUCAUUCUGUCCUUCUAACUCUUCUGUUAGCUAACCAAUUCACAUGCAUAUACAGCUAACAGCUGCAUCAAUCGGAGAUGAAAUUGAUUCCUCUAUGGUAGAGUAGAGGCAGAACACGUACAAACAAAACAAAACAAAACAAAGGAGAAAGAUGAAAUGUUGUUGUUGAUAGGAAAAUUGAGCAAGCUACAUAAUUGUAGUCUGUAGAAUCAUCCUUCAUUAAACACUAGUAUAAAAUACACUAACAACAAAAUGAAAUGAAAUGUAAUUGUAAUUGUCUACACCCCAAAAUCAAAUCAAAUGUUCUAGAAAGAAAGGAUGAUAGUCUCAUUUUUUU